AGUGAAUAGAUACCCGGGUAGUCCUAGCCGUAAACGAUACUCGCUAGGUGUCGGCCACGGUGCGACCGUUGUCGGUGCCGUAGGGAAAGCCGUGAAGCGAGCCACCUGGGAAGUACGGCCGCAAGGCUGAAACUUAAAGGAAUUGGCGGGGGAGCACCACAACGGGUGGAGCUUGCGGUUUAAUUGGAUUCAACGCCGGAAACCUUACCGGGUACCGGACAGCGAUAUGAAGGCCGACGGCUGAAGGCGUUUGUCCGGAUUAGCUGAGAGGUGGUGCAUGGCCGUCGUCAGUUCGUACUGUGAAGCACCCUGUUAAGUCAGGCAACGAGCGAGACCCACGCCACAGUUGCCAGCGUACUCUCCGGAGUGACGGGUACACUGUGGGGACCGCCGCUGCUAAAGCGGAGGAAGGAAUGGGC
rnacentral:rRNA from 1 species